rfam:Coprinopsis cinerea okayama7#130 chromosome 11 cont3.11, whole genome shotgun sequence.
GGUUCAAUGGUCUAGUGGUUAUGAUUUCUGUCUUACACACAGAAGGUCUCCAGUUCGAUCCUGGAUUGAACCA